CCUACGGGAGGCAGCAGUGAGGAAUAUUGGUCAAUGGACGGAAGUCUGAACCAGCCAUGCCGCGUGCAGGAAGACGGCUCUAUGAGUUGUAAACUGCUUUUGUAGAAGGGUAAACCGGAAUACGUGUAUGCAGCUGAAAGUACUGUACGAAUAAGGAUCGGCUAACUCCGUGCCAGCAGCCGCGGUAAUACGGAGGAGCCAAGCGUUAUCCGGAUUUAUUGGGUUUAAAGGGGGCGUAGGCGGCUUGAUAAGUUAGAGGUGAAAUGUCCGAGCUGAACUCUGGAACUGCCUCUAAUACUGUUGAUCUAGAGUGUAGGUGCGGUAGGCGUAAUGUCUGUUGUAGCGG
rnacentral:rRNA from 1 species